rnacentral:lncRNA from 1 species
CCCAGCCAAUCUACAAUGAUGGAACUAUUAAAAUUAAGCGCUACUAUAUUUCCUCAGUCCCAUGACAAUUUUACAAUGGAAACAAACAAAAGACUAGAAUUAACUUUUUUUUUUUAUUACAGUUAUUUGGUUUUAUUUACUUACAGGAGGAUUUUAGGCUUCUGUGCAACCUGCUGUGUCUGUGCUCUGUGCAUUUUGAGAUUUCUUUUUCAGACACCUAUGCUGGAUGAAGCUUGGCCUGCAACUGGAACAUUUUGGAAAGCAAAUGUAGGAAGUGAGCACAGCAGACUGUGUGAGGAGCAGACAUUUACAGGACAACCUUUCAUAAUCACCAGGACAUCUCAGUGAGAUGAAAAAUGAAAGGUCAAACUUGCCAAACCCAGGAUUGCCUCCUAGAAGAGAGCCCAUUGGAGAUAAGGCAAAGUUACGUGAGUUUGGGACCUGGCAUGACCUACUUACCAGGCAGAGUUAUGAGAACCCAUGUUAGGACAGUUUGUUUUUCAGCCUGGUUUCUCAUGGGAACAAGGCUUAUGCAAUCGUACUGUCUGUGUGUCUGUGUCUACAUCCUCCUCCCCUCCCCAAUAACUUUUGGACUCAUUGCUCAAUUUCAACAGGGGGGGUAGAGGUUCCAGGGGUGCUUCUGAUCCUGCAGGCAUUUUACAGUCAGAGGAGAGUGAAGCUACAGGUGUUCUCUGCAGCGAGAGUGUGUGUGGCUCAGCCAGGAGAGCCGUGCAGAGGCGGUGGCACAGUGGAGGAUCCACACAGCACAUUCUGCUGCUCCUUUUUGACAUGACACACUCACUGGUGAGCCCCUCAAAGCUCAGCUCCUGCUUUUCUACUUUUUCUGUAAAACAGGGUGGAUUUGAGAGGCUCUGUUAACUAACAGCCUUUUAAAACAUGCUGAGGGACGGCAGGUGAGCAUCCCUGCUGCAACCUGAUGUGGUUAAAGCAAGGUUAGAGGGGGAUGAGGAGCUCCUCUGGGCUUGGGAGCCUCUGACCUGAGCAAAAGUUCCCUCUGCCAGGGCUACAAGGGAUGUGAUGCUGCUGAAGUUUGUUGUUGUAGCACUCACACCCAGGACUCAGGAAUCAGCUCCAGUCAGGGUCUCACACAGACCUGGUGCAGCUCCUUUUAACCUCCCUGCCUUCCAAAGGAUUCCUUGCCAGCACUGCCACGUGAACUCAGCUAAUUACAGGGGAGGAAAUUACAGCCCCACAGACUUCACAGAGAAUAUUCGGCACAGGUACAGCACUUAAUGAUAGGCAAUUAAAACGCUCUAUAUCUAAUUCCUAAGAAAUGGUGGGUUUGGAGAGGGACCACUUCCAGUGAGCAGGUGAUAAUGAACUCCCCAGAUCACAGAGGCAUCAUUUCAAAAUGAUAGUGUGAAUUUAUUAAACAUGCUAUGGAAGACAAAUGUUAUUAUAUGAAUACACAGGGAAAGAAAAUAGAUCAGGAAAACUCCUUGGGUUUCUGCUAGCAUAUUACAUGCAUGACAGUUUCUUUUGGCUCAUAAAUAACAACACAAGAACACACAUGAAUACUUCCAAUGAUUUGUAGGGGAUUUUAGGGCUCUUGUCCUCAUAAAUUCUCAUUUUUUGGGCAAACUGGGUUGCAUGAUGGCUUAACAGAUGAGGAAAGACAAUGUUUCCUUUUAUUUCAUUUAAGUUUCCCAAAAGAGCUUGAAAAACUGUUAUUUUAAACAUUGCAUAUUUAGAUAAAAACAGGUGUAACUAAUUAAUGGGUUUUUGGAGGGGCAAAAAGACCCUCCCAGGACAUAAUCCAAAAUUGUGAUACCUCUUGAAAUGAGUUCAGGGCAAUCUCAGAAUAGUAAUUUCUUCUAGAGCAGAUACUGGAGAGUGAAGGGUUUGUCAAUAAAGUCUGUUUGUGAUCCUCA